AUUGAACGCUGGCGGCAUGCCUUACACAUGCAAGUCGAACGGUAGCAGGUCUUCGGAUGCUGACGAGUGGCGAACGGGUGAGUAAUACAUCGGAACGUGCCCGAUCGUGGGGGAUAACGCAGCGAAAGCUGUGCUAAUACCGCAUACGAUCUACGGAUGAAAGCGGGGGAUCUUCGGACCUCGCGCGGACGGAGCGGCCGAUGGCAGAUUAGGUAGUUGGUGGGGUAAAGGCUCACCAAGCCUGCGAUCUGUAGCUGGUCUGAGAGGACGACCAGCCACACUGGGACUGAGACACGGCCCAGACUCCUACGGGAGGCAGCAGUGGGGAAUUUUGGACAAUGGGCGCAAGCCUGAUCCAGCCAUGCCGCGUGCAGGAUGAAGGCCUUCGGGUUGUAAACUGCUUUUGUACGGAACGAAAAGUCUCUUUUUAAUAAAGAGGGAUCAUGACGGUACCGUAAGAAUAAGCACCGGCUAACUACGUGCCAGCAGCCGCGGUAA
rnacentral:rRNA from 1 species